UGAGGAAUAUUGGUCAAUGGGCGAGAGCCUGAACCAGCCAAGUCGCGUGAGGGAAGACGGCCCUACGGUUGUAAACCUCUUUUGUCAGGGAGCAAGAACAGGCACGCGUGCCUGACUGAGAGUACCUGAAGAAAAA
rnacentral:rRNA from 1 species